rnacentral:rRNA from 1 species
UACGUAGGGUGCAAGCGUUAAUCGGAAUUACUGGGCGUAAAGCGUGCGCAGGCGGUCCGCUAAGACAGAUGUGAAAUCCCCGGGCUUAACCUGGGAACUGCAUUUGUGACUGGCGGGCUAGAGUAUGGCAGAGGGGGGUAGAAUUCCACGUGUAGCAGUGAAAUGCGUAGAUAUGUGGAGGAACACCGAUGGCGAAGGCAGCCCCCUGGGUCAAGACUGACGCUCAUGCACGAAAGCGUGGGGAGCAAACAGG